GUGUCUUUUCCAAUAGAUGAAAUCUCCUGGUUACAUGGCAAAAUGAAUAAAGACUUUGUCUUCCUGAAGCACACUGUCAAAAGAUUGCUCUACCAAAACAUGGUUAUUUUUAAUAGGAGCAAUUAGGCCUUUGCAAUAUUGGAGUAUAUCUCCUUUUAUCAAUUGUGGGUCUAGAGAGGAAGGAGACAAGUUCAUUGGGCAUCCAGUGAUUAUCUCUAAGGGUGAGGGUUUAUGAGUUCCAAAGGGGUGGAUCUUAGAUUUUGAAGGAUCAAAGGCAAUGCUUUUGGUGAAGGCAUUUGGUGAAUCUCUAGAAAUUUUGUCAAUUGAGUCUUCAUAAUACAUUCAAUUAGACCAGGAGAUUGAGGGUGUUGAGAACAGUGAGAGUAUUCUAAAACUGGCCAAACAAUGAAGAUUUUUUUGAAGUACAUGACCAGUAAAAUGGAUUCCUUGAUGACCAUAAGGUUCGAGAGGUCUUCCCCAGGUAGGGAUAACCCUUUCCAAAAGGACAUAUGCCACAGAAGAUGCAGUAGCAUGUCUGCAAGGAAAGGUUUUUGUCCAGUGAGAAAACAUACAAAUGAUGACUGAGAGAUAUUUAUAUCAAUAAUAUGGGAAUAGUUGUGUGAAAUCCUAUUGGCAAAACUUGAAUGAGUGUUUACACAGUUUAAAAAGUCCAGGAGCCAUACAAACAGUCUUCCCUAUUGUAUUUUGGACUAGUGGGACAAGUGAGGUAGGCAUUUUCGGCAGCUUUGUUAAUAAUUUCCCACCAAUUUUGAUUAAUGAAUGCUAUCGUUUUGUCAGUAGACCAAUGGUCAAAUGCAUGUACAGUGGUUAGGACUAGGAAUUUUAGAGUCACUGGUAGGACUGGGUUGUUAUUUGGUCUGAUCCAGGACUUUCUCUUUUCAUUAAACCAACAAUUGUUGAACUUCUACUUUCCUUUUUUCCUUUCAGAGACCAAUAGUUAGGCUUACCUAGACAGUUUUUCUAAGUUUUAAUUUGGAGAAAUAUCACUUUAGACCACGAUAGAUAUUUGAGUGUUGUUUGCUCCUUUAAGGGCUGCAUUUCUUGCAGAGAUAUCAGCAAGGUAGUUUCCUUUGGUUUUCAGAGAGUCAAGUUUAGAAUUCCUGAUCUUCAUAAAAGCUAAAGCAGCAGGUAAGGGUAUAGGAUAUGUUAAAUCCUGAACAUACGCACCAUUUAAAUUUUUAUUUUCACUGGAAAUAAGGAAACUAUGUUGCUUCCACAACAUUCCAAAAUCACGAGCUACUCCAAAAUCAUGUCUACUCUCAAUAUAAAUAUUGGCAGUUUGCUUUUGGUUAAAGUGCAAGCUUGUGUAACUGUGUAUAACUCAGCUUGUUGUGUCAAAGUAGCCAUAAGUAAAGGUUCCACCUCUACAAUAUCAAAAAGAGUUUCAAUAGCUUACUCAGAACAAUAUUUGCCAUUGUCACCUUUUAAAUAAGAACUAUCACUGAACCAUGAGAAGUCGGCAUUACCCAAAGUAGUUUCCCGCAGAUCAUCAUGAGGAGUUUUGGAGGCGAUCAAUCAGCAUUAAUAAAAGGGAUUUAUAGAAGGUGUGGCAGCUGAUUGAAAUAUGUGGAGUCUGAUGAGCAUUUAUGAGGGAUUUUACUCCAUGGCAUAAAAAAGUAGUUAAAGGGAGCCCACAAUAAUUUUCUCAGUGGCCUUGACCAAAAAGGCAGAGGCAGUAAGGCUAUAAAACAAGAGGGGUAUCCCCAUGCCACAGGGUCCAAUUGCUAGCUAUAAUUUCCUAUGAGUAAAUGUUGGUCUCCUGUUCCUGAGGGCAUUCUCUUCCUUUCUAUACACAAAAAUGCAAAAGGGAAUCUGAUAAUUGGGAUGUACAAGAGCAAGUGGGUUUAUCAAGCUAUACUUUAAAUCCUUAAAGGUCAUGUUGUCCAAUAUUCCCAUAAAAUUGGGUAGAGGUUGUUGUACCUCAGUAAACCAGACAGUUGGG
ensembl:lncRNA